GUCUAUGGCCAUACUACCCCGAAUGUGUCCCAUCUCCUCUGAUCUCAGAUGCUAAGGUACAUCAGGCCUGGUUGGUACUUGGGUGAGAGAUUCUACGAAAUCAUGUGCAGGUA
rnacentral:rRNA from 1 species